rnacentral:rRNA from 1 species
UACGUAGGGGGCAAGCGUUGUUCGGAAUUACUGGGCGUAAAGGGCGCGUAGGCGGCAGGCCAAGUCGGAAGUGAAAGCCCAGGGCUCAACCCUGGAAUGUCUUACGAAACUGGCCAGCUUGAGUGCGGAAGAGGCAACUGGAAUUCCCAGUGUAGCGGUGAAAUGCGUAGAUAUUGGGAAGAACACCUGAGGCGAAGGCGGGUUGCUGGGCCGACACUGACGCUGAGGCGCGAAAGCCAGGGGAGCAAACGGG